CCUACGGGAGACAGCAGUGAGGAAUAUUGGUCAAUGGACGAGAGUCGGAACCAGCCAAGUAGCGUGAAGGAUGACUGCCCUAUGGGUUGUAAACUUCUGUUAUAAAGGUAUAAAACGAGGCACGUGUCCCGUUUUGUAUGUACCUUAUGAAUAAGGAUCGGCUAACUCCGUGCCAGCAGCCGCGGUAAUACGGAGGAUCCGAGCGUUAUCCGGGUUUAUUGGGUUUAAAGGGUGCGUAGGCGGCCUUUUAAGUCCGCGUUGAAAGUCUGUGGUUCAACCAUAGAAUUGCCGUUGAAACUGGGGGGCUUGAGUAUGUUUGAGGCAGGCGGAAGGCGUGGUGUAGCGGUGAAAUGCUUAGAUAUCACGCAGAACCCCGAUUGCGAAGGCAGCCUGCCAAGCCAUGACUGACGCUGAUGCACGAAAGCGUGGGGAUCAAACAGGAUUAGAUACCCUUGUAGUC
rnacentral:rRNA from 1 species